rnacentral:rRNA from 1 species
UACGUAGGUGGCGAGCGUUGUCCGGAAUUACUGGGUGUAAAGCGCGUGUAGGCGGGAGGCCCAGUCUGUGGUGAAAUCGCCUGGCUUAACUGGGCGGGGUCCAUGGAAACUGGUCACCUGGAGGUCGGUAGAGGCAAGUGGAAUUCCCGGUGUAGUGGUGAAAUGCGUAGAGAUCGGGAGGAACACCAGUGGCGAAGGCGGCUUGCUGGGCCGGACCUGACGCUGAGACGCGAAGGCGUGGGGAGCGAACGGG